rnacentral:tRNA from 1 species
GGGUGUGUAAUUCAGUGGUAGAGUGCUUGCCUACCAUGUGUGAGGCCCUGGGUUCAAUUCCCAGUACCA